CAGUAGCCACGGUAAAACGGAGGAUCCAAGCGUUAUCCGGAAUCAUUGGGUUUAAAGGGUCCGUAGGCGGUCUUGUAAGUCAGUGGUGAAAGCCCAUCGCUCAACGGUGGAACGGCCAUUGAUACUGCAGGACUUGAAUUAUUGGGAAGUAACUAGAAUAUGUAGUGUAGCGGUGAAAUGCUUAGAGAUUACAUGGAAUACCAAUUGCGAAGGCAGGUUACUACCAAUUGAUUGACGCUGAUGGACGAAAGCGUGGGUAGCGAACAGGAUUAGAUACCCGCGUAGUCCCUGUCUCUUAUAU
rnacentral:rRNA from 1 species